ACUCAUCGCGUUCGAGUUGUCUCAAUGUGCAGAGCUGAGUUGGCGAUGCGAUUGACAUCGCCAACAUAGAUCGGGUUGCUGUUGCCUAAUGUGUAGACGGCCUAAAAGUUAAAAAAAAUCAUAAAAAGUGGCAAGUCGAGCCGGCGAUAAACACGGUAGUGUACCGCAUUUUCCUAGCAGUAAAACAUCGAAGUGCCACAUCCUGCGCUGCUGGAGCAGAGUUAUUUUGAAUAGUAGCAGAACCAAAAGUUUUGAAGAAAGUCGGAUAUCUUUCCUCCGUUUUCCGACCAACAAAUUUUCGAGACGGAAAUAGUUAAACUUUUUCGGAUACAAAAGCUCGUUCAAAAAAGACGUCUUCGUACUGGAGCUAUCACAUGCAUUCGCUCCAUGGAUCGGGAACGGGAACGACACUGCUUCGAUAUAACCUCUCCACACAUUUGUUAAUCGUUAAUCAGUUUUUGCAUUAUUUUUAUAAUACAGGGAGGAGACUACCUUCUUAUUCUACGUACUUUGAGCAAUGAGUACAUAUGAGGUGGAGUAGUAUUUGGAUUAUUAAACAGAAUGUGUCGUAACCUAGGUAGUGCGGACUGAAUCAAAACGGCUGUCAAAAAAGAUCCAAUUGAAAUGUCAAAAGAGAUCCAACGAUCAGAAGUGUUAUUUUUCUUAUGAUAAUCAACACUAUAAAAGAGGUAUUGUUGUCAGGGGCAAAAAUAAUGCAAACAAUAAAAUGA